CAUGCAAGUCGAACGGAAGUUUAAGCAAUUAAACUUUAGUGGCGAACGGGUGAGUAACGCGUAAGCAAUCUGCCCCUAAGACGAGGAUAACAGUUGGAAACGACUGCUAAGACUGGAUAGGAGACAAGAAGGCAUCUUCUUGUUUUUAAAAGACCUAGCAAUAGGUAUGCUUAGGGAGGAGCUUGCGUCACAUUAGUUAGUUGGUGGGGUAAAGGCCUACCAAGACUAUGAUGUGUAGCCGGGCUGAGAGGUUGAACGGCCACAUUGGGACUGAGACACGGCCCAAACUCCUACGGGAGGCAGCAGUAGGGAAUUUUCGGCAAUGGAGGAAACUCUGACCGAGCAACGCCGCGUGAACGAUGAAGUAUUUCGGUACGUAAAGUUCUUUUAUUAGGGAAGAAUAAAUGAUGGAAAAAUCAUUCUGACGGUACCUAAUGAAUAAGCCCCGGCUAACUAUGUGCCAGCAGCCGCGGUAAUACAUAGGGGGCAAGCGUUAUCCGGAAUUAUUGGGCGUAAAGGGUGCGUAGGCGGUUAAAUAAGUUUAUGGUCUAAGUGCAAUGCUCAACAUUGUGAUGCUAUAAAAACUGUUUAGCUAGAGUAAGAUAGAGGCAAGUGGAAUUCCAUGUGUAGUGGUAAAAUGCGUAAAUAUAUGGAGGAACACCAGUAGCGAAGGCGGCUUGCUGGGUCUUUACUGACGCUGAGGCACGAAAGCGUGGGGAGCAAACAGGAUUAGAUACCCUGGUAGUCCACGCCGUAAACGAUGAGUACUAAACGUUGGGUAAAACCAGUGUUGAAGUUAACACAUUAAGUACUCCGCCUGAGUAGUACGUACGCAAGUAUGAAACUUAAAGGAAUUGACGGGACUCCGCACAAGCGGUGGAUCAUGUUGUUUAAUUCGAAGGUACCCGAAAAACCUCACCAGGUCUUGACAUGCUUCUGCAAAGCUGUAGAAACACAGUGGAGGUUAUCAGUUGCACAGGUGGUGCAUGGUUGUCGUCAGCUCGUGUCGUGAGAUGUUGGGUUAAGUCCCGCAACGAGCGCAACCCUUAUUGUUAGUUACCAGCACGUAAUGGUGGGGACUUUAGCAAGACUGCCAGUGAUAAAUUGGAGGAAGGUGGGGACGACGUCAAAUCAUCAUGCCCCUUAUGACCUGGGCUACAAACGUGAUACAAUGGCUGUUACAAAGGGUAGCUGAAGCGCAAGUUUUUGGCGAAUCUCAAAAAAACAGUCUCAGUUCGGAUUGAAGUCUGCAACUCGACUUCAUGAAGUUGGAAUCGCUAGUAAUCGCGAAUCAGCAUGUCGCGGUGAAUACGUUCUCGGGGUUUGUACACACCGCCCGUCAAACCACGAAAGUUGGAAAUACCCAAAGCCGGUGGCCUAACUUCGCAAGAAGAGGGAACCGUCUAAGGUAGGGUCGAUGAUUGGGG
rnacentral:rRNA from 1 species